rnacentral:rRNA from 1 species
GAUGAACGCUAGCGGGAGGCCUAACACAUGCGAGCCGAGCGGUAUUGUUUCUUCGGAAAUGAGAGAGCGGCGUACGGGUGCGUAACACGUGUGCAACCUGCCUUUAUCUGGGGGAUAGCCUUUCGAAAGGAAGAUUAAUACUCCAUAAUAUAUUGAACGGCAUCGUUUAAUAUUGAAAGCUCCGGCGGAUAGAGAUGGGCACGCGCAAGAUUAGCUAGUUGGUGAGGUAACGGCUCACCAAGGCGAUGAUCUUUAGGGGGCCUGAGAGGGUGAUCCCCCACACUGGUACUGAGACACGGACCAGACUCCUACGGGAGGCAGCAGUGAGGAAUAUUGGUCAAUGGGUGCAAGCCUGAACCAGCCAUCCCGUGUGAAGGACGACUGCCCUAUGGGUUGUAAACUUCUUUUGUAUAGGGAUAAACCUACCCUCGAGAGGGUAGCUGAAGGUACUAUACGAAUAAGCACCGGCUAACUCCGUG